UACGGGGGAGCAAGCGUUGUUCGGAUUUACUGGGCGUAAAGGGCGCGUAGGCGGCCACCGCAAGUCGACUGUGAAAUCUCCGGGCUUAACCCGGAAAGGUCAGCCGAUACUGCGGGGCUAGAGUGCAGAAGGGGCAACUGGAAUUCUCGGUGUAGCGGUGAAAUGCGUAGAUAUCGAGAGGAACACCUGCGGCGAAGGCGGGUUGCUGGGCUGACACUGACGCUGAGGCGCGAAAGCCAGGGAGCAAACGGG
rnacentral:rRNA from 1 species